rnacentral:rRNA from 1 species
UACGAAGGGUGCAAACGUUGCUCGGAAUUAUUGGGCGUAAAGCGCGCGUAGGCGGCUUGGCAAGUCGGAUGUGAAAUCCCUCGGCUCAACCAAGGAAGUGCAUCCGAAACUGCUGAGCUUGAGUACUUAAGAGGAUCGCGGAAUUCCCGGUGUAGAGGUGAAAUUCGUAGAUAUCGGGAGGAACACCAGUGGCGAAGGCGGCGUCUGGGAAGAUACUGACGCUGAGGAGCGAAAGCGUGGGGAGCGAACAGG